rnacentral:rRNA from 1 species
GAUGAACGCGAGCUACAGGCUUAACACAUGCAAGCCGAGGGGCAGCAUAAAUCUAGCAAUAGAUUUGAUGGCGACCGGCGCACGGGUGAGUAACACGUAUCCAACCUACCUAUUACUCGGGUAUAGCCUUUCGAAAGAAAGAUUAAUCCCCGAUACGGUAUGGAGUUCGCUUGAAUUUGAUAUGAAAGCUUCAUUGGUAUUAGAUGGGGAUGCGUUCCAUUAGAUUGUUGGUAAGGUAACGGCUCACCAAGUAUUCGAUGGAUCGGGGUUCUGAGAGGAAGGCCCCCCACACGUGAACUGAGACACGGUCCAGACUCCUACGGGAGGCAGCAGUGAGGAAUAUUGGUCAAUGGGCGAGAGCCUGAACCAGCCAAGUAGCGUGAGGGAUGACUGCCCUAUGGGUUGUAAACCUCUUUUAUAAGGGAAUAAAACGCUCCACGAGUGGAGCUUUGCAUGUACCUUUUGAAUAAGGAUCGGCUAACUCCGUGCCAGCCGCCGCCGUAA